rnacentral:rRNA from 1 species
GACGAACGCUGGCGGCGUGCUUAACACAUGCAAGUCGAGCGGUAAGGCCCUUUCGGGGUACGACGAGCGGCGAACGGGUGAGUAACACGUGGGUGACCUGCCCUCAGCUCUGGGAUAAGCCUGGGAAACCGGGUCUAAUACUGGAUAUGACUCCAUGACGCAUGUUGUGGGGUGGAAAGCCUUGUGCGGCUGAGGAUGGGCCCGCGGCCUAUCAGCUUGUUGGUGGGGUGAUGGCCUACCAAGGCGACGACGGGUAGCCGGCCUGAGAGGGCGACCGGCCACACUGGGACUGAGACACGGCCCAGACUCCUACGGGAGGGCAGCAGUGGGGAAGUCUUGCGCAAUGGGCGAAAGCCUGACGCAGCGACGCCGCGUGAGGGAUGACGGCCUCGG